rnacentral:rRNA from 1 species
CAGUCGCCGCGGUAAAACGUAGGUGGCAAGCGUUGUCCGGAAUUAUUGGGCGUAAAGGGCUCGCAGGCGGUUUCUUAAGUCUGAUGUGAAAGCCCCCGGCUCAACCGGGGAGGGUCAUUGGAAACUGGGAAACUUGAGUGCAGAAGAGGAGAGUGGAAUUCCACGUGUAGCGGUGAAAUGCGUAGAGAUGUGGAGGAACACCAGUGGCGAAGGCGAUUCUCUGGUCUGUAGCUGACGCUGAGGAGCGAUAGCGUGGGGAGCGAACAGGAUUAGAUACCCCGGUAGUCCCUGUCUCUUAUAA